rnacentral:misc_RNA from 1 species
GAUGAAGAACGUAGCGUAAUGCGAUACGUAGUGUGAAUUGCAGAAUUCAGUGAAUCAUCGAAUCUUUGAACGCACAUUGCACCUCUCGGUAUUCCGGGAGGUAUGCCUGUUCGAGCGUCAUUUGUACCCUCAAGCUCUGCUUGGUGUUGGGUGUUUGUUCCGCCUCUGUGUGUGAACUCACCUCAAAACAAUUGGCAGCCGGCGUACUUGUUUCGGAGCGCAGCACAUUUUGCGAUCCAGAUCAACGUACAGCGGCAUCCAAGAAGCCUUAUUUAACGCUCUUGACCUCGGAUCAGGUAGGGAUACCCGCUGAACUUAAGCAUAUCAAUAAGCGGAGGA